GCCGGGCAUGGUGGCUCACGUCUGUAAUCCCAGCACCUUGGGAGGCUGAGGUGGGUGGAUCACCUGAGGUCAGGAGUUCAAGACCAGCCUGACCAACAUGGUGAAACCCUAUCUCUA
ensembl:misc_RNA Metazoa_SRP Metazoan signal recognition particle RNA